UCCCUGGUGGCUCAGACGGUAAAGCAUCUGUCUACAAUGCAGGAGACCCAGGUUCGAUCCCCUGGAGAAGGAA
rnacentral:tRNA from 1 species